rfam:Schistosoma curassoni strain Dakar, Senegal genome assembly, scaffold: SCTD_scaffold0000498
AUCCAGCUGGCGAGUCCCAAAUAAAAUGAAACGCGCGUCCUGGAU